rnacentral:misc_RNA from 1 species
GUCAAAUAUGGAUUAAUGGGCAGAGUAUAGGGAGAUACUGGACUGCAUAUGCUACUGGUAAUUGCAACGGAUGCAGUUAUGCAGGAACAUUCCGUCCCUCUAAGUGUCAGCUUGGCUGUGGCCAGCCCACCCAGCGAUGGUAAAUACUCAAAAGAUGGAGAUAUGCUGCAAUUUUACAAGUGAAAAAAAGAUUCAUUUAGUGAUAAUAAUUCAAUUUGCAGGUACCACAUGCCUCGGUCAUGGUUGAAGCCAACCCAAAAUCUUUUGGUAGUUUUUGAAGAACUUGGAGGAAAUCCCUCUAGAAUUUCUCUUGUG